rnacentral:rRNA from 1 species
GGAUUCCCCUAGUAACGGCGAGUGAAGCGGGAAGAGCUCAAAUUUUAAAUCUGGCGUCCUUCGGGCGUCCGAGUUGUAAUCUAGAGAAGUGUUUUCCGCGUUGGACCCACCAUAAGUUACCUCGAACGGUACAUCAUAAGA